rnacentral:tRNA from 1 species
UCCCAGGUGGCUCAAUGGUAAAGAAUCUGCCUGCCAAUGCAGGAAAAGCAGGAGACACAGGUUCAAGUCCUGGCUUGCGAA